CCCAUCUCCCUGUCUUCCCUAAUUUCCUUCAUAGCACUUACCAUUUUCUGAACUUGUAUUCCUUGCUUACUUGCUCACUGCCUUUUUCUCCUGCUCGAAUGUAAGCUCUAAGAGAACCAGGACCUUGCCUGGUUCAUUUCCCCUCGUAUCCCAGGCACACUAUAGUGUUUAAUAAAUGCUUCUUGGCUGACUGACUACUGAAUGAAGGCCAGCAGGAGGUCUUGAGUGGUGCAGAUCUGACAGAACAAUUAGAUUUUAAGUCGUUCCUUGAGGACAGAGGCCAUGUUUACUUCUAUUAUCUUUCUUGGCUUCCCCCGCACCAACCCUCCACAUAGUUCUGGACACACGGCAGAGCAGGACAAACAUUUGUUGGCUGCUUGGUUGAAUCAAUAACGAGAGAGAAGGUAUACCUGGAUGGAGUAAAUGGAGUAUGGAGAUUAUGGGUCUUGAAGACAGAACCAAGCGUAGCAAAUUGUUUUUAGUGUGGUGUGGAGGAACAAGUAGAUUUAUAGUCAUUUUUACUGUUUGUGAGUUUAAAACUAUGGCACAUGAGCUCAUACAAGAAAGCUGGAGGUUUCACAAUUUUCCAUUGCUUUGAAAUAGAGGUCACUUCCAUCUACAUUGGCAUCCACCCCUUAGGUCUACGUGACAUUUACAAGUCAUUUAUCAGCACUGAACUCCCAAGAGCUUGCUCUGCCAUUCUCCAAGAUGUUGGCUGACACCUCUGACAGGAGAAGCCAGGAUGUGUUUUGACAACCAAGUGGUUUCCUUAGCAAACUGCGGGUGUUCUCAGGCAGCUCAGUGGAGAAAGCUCUGGCUUUCAGAUCAAGACCGUACCUCUCAAGGGCUUUCCCUCUCUGAAGCACACGUUGGCUUCAUCCUAAGGCUGUUAUUUGGAUUUGUCCCUGGGCUCUGUGAAUCUGGCUUGUCAGGUUGAAUAUGUACAGUUACCUAGCAGGUCCCGGGUGUUUCACAUCCCAGAUGGCCAUAUCCAAGAUGGGAGCAGAGAGGACACAGCAGAAGUGUGAGGUGAGGGCCCUUGGGUUGUACCUGCAUGACAUCAGUUGCCUUUUCCACAGAACAAAUGGCCAAGGGCUAGAGAGAUAGGUGACACUGGGAGACUCUGAGGUGGCUCAACAAAUAAGAAUGACUGAUUCUAUAAAUAAAAGGGAAAAUUGGGAAGUUCCA
rnacentral:lncRNA from 1 species